GUGUUCACUUUGGCAGCACAUAUUCUAAAAUCUGAGUGGUACAGAGAAGUCUACCAUGGCCCCUACUCAAAGAUGAUGUGCAAAUUUGUGAAACAUUCCAUACUUUU